rnacentral:ncRNA from 1 species
ACUUUUGGUUUCGGAGAGAGCUCACAUCGAUGGGAAGGUUUGGCACCUCGAUAUCGGCUUUUUACCACCUGGGACUGUAGCAUGUUCCAAGGAUUGGGUUGUUCGCCCAUAAAAACAGUACGUGAGCUGGAUUCAGAACGUCGUGAGACAAUUC